rnacentral:rRNA from 1 species
AGUGAACGCUGGCGGUAGGCCUAACACAUGCAAGUCGAACGGCAGCACAGUAAGAGCUUGCUCUUACGGGUGGCGAGUGGCGGACGGGUGAGGAAUACAUCGGAAUCUACUUUUUCGUGGGGGAUAACGUAGGGAAACUUACGCUAAUACCGCAUACGACCUACGGGUGAAAGCAGGGGAUCUUCGGACCUUUCGCGAUUGAAUGAGCCGAUGUCGGAUCAGCUAGUUGGCUGGGUAAAGGCCCACCAAGGCGACGAUCCGUAGCUGGUCUGAGAGGAUGAUCAGCCACACUGGAACUGAGACACGGUCCAGACUCCUACGGGAGGCAGCAGUGGGGAAUAUUGGACAAUGGGCGCAAGCCUGAUCCAGCCAUACCGCGUGAGUGAAGAAGGCCUUCGGGUUGUAAAGCCCUUUUGUUGGGAAAGAAAAGCAGCAGGUUAAUACCCCGCUGUUCUGACGGUACCCAAAGAAUAAGCACCGGCUAACUUCGUG